rnacentral:rRNA from 1 species
UGGGGAAUUUUGGACAAUGGGCGAAAGCCUGAUCCAGCAAUGCCGCGUGUGUGAAGAAGGCCUUCGGGUUGUAAAGCACUUUUGUCCGGAAAGAAAUCCUUGGCUCUAAUACAGUCGGGGGAUGACGGUACCGGAAGAAUAAGCACCGGCUAACUACGUGCCAGCAGCCGCGGUAAUACGUAGGGUGCAAGCGUUAAUCGGAAUUACUGGGCGUAAAGCGUGCGCAGGCGGUUUGCUAAGACCGAUGUGAAAUCCCCGGGCUCAACCUGGGAACUGCAUUGGUGACUGGCAGGCUAGAGUAUGGCAGAGGGGGGUAGAAUUCCACGUGUAGCAGUGAAAUGCGUAGAGAUGUGGAGGAAUACCGAUGGCGAAGGCAGCCCCCUGGGCCAAUACUGACGCUCAUGCACGAAAGCGUGGGGAGCAAACAGGAUUAGAUACCCUGGUAGUCCACGCCCUAAACGAUGUCAACUAGUCGUUGGGGAUUCAUUUUCCUUAGUAACGUAGCUAACGCGUGAAGUUGACCGCCUGGGGAGUACGGUCGCAAGAUU